rnacentral:lncRNA from 1 species
GCGAAAUAAAAGGCUCGGUUGCUUUUCCCCAGCCAAGGACGGGUGCCCAAGGGAUUUCAGCUGGAAGGGAGAAAAACCAAGCAACACCCUUCUCCACUUGCUCCUUGUGCGGCACAUACACAUACUAAAGGGAUCUUGUGAAAAUCCAGCUACAAGACCUGUUAUAACACAAUGAAGAGCCACCUGUCCAGAAGCUUAGAAUUUCAAUGAUGACAUUGAACCUGAUGAUUUAUAUUGUAACAAAGAGCAAGCUUGAGACCAGCAAGGUGAUCCUCCAUUUGAAAUAUUGAAUUGAAAUAUUGAAAAAGAUCCUCAUUUAAUAGCUCAAGCAGACCUAGAU